rnacentral:rRNA from 1 species
GACGAACGCUGGCGGCGUGCUUAACACAUGCAAGUCGAACGGAAAGGCCCCUUUGGGGGUACUCGCGUGGCGCACGGGUGAGUAACACGUGAGUAACCUGCCCUUGACUUCGGGAUAACUUCAGGAAACUGGGGCUAAUACCGGCUAGGAAUCCUUGCUGCAUGGUGGGGGUUGGAAAGCUUCGGCGGUUUUGGAUGGACUCGGGGCUUAUCAGCUUGUUGGUGGGGUAGAGGCUUACCAAGGCUUUGACGGGUAGCCGGCCUGAGAGGGCGACCGGCCACAGUGGGAAGGAGAGACGGCGCAGAGUCCUACGGGAGGCAGCAGGGGGGAGUCGUGGACAAUGGGGGCAAGGGUGAUAAAGCCAUGCCGCGUGAGGGAAGAAGGCAGUCGGGUGGUAAAACGCUUUUGUUCGGGAAGAAAUACAGUGGGAUAAUACCCCGGGGGGAUGACGGUACCGGAAGUAUAAGCACCGGCUAACUACGUG